rnacentral:rRNA from 1 species
CCCUUAGAUGUUCUGGGCUGCACGCGCGCUACACUGGUGCACUCAACAAGUUUACAACCUUGAUCGAUAGGUCUGGGUAAUCUUUUGAAUAUGCACCGUGCUAGGGAUAGAUUAUUGCAAUUAUUAAUCUUGAACGAGGAAUUCCUAGUAAAUGCAAGUCAUCAGCUUGCGUUGAUUACGUCCCUGCCCUUUGUACACACCGCCCGUCGCACCUACUGAUUGAAUGGUCCGGUGAAGCCUCCGGAUUGGCGCGCACCUCGGUGCCGCCGAGAAGUUGGCUAAACCUUACCAUUUAGAGGAAGGUGAAGUCGUANCA